CGGGAGAAGCGCGGGAGCCCGGGCGUACCGGGCUGAGAGGGUGGCUGGCCGGCUGCCGACCGUAAGAACCUGAUCCGGGUCAUGCCGGCGAAGGGAGACGCAGGAUGCCCAUC
rfam:Streptomyces sp. DvalAA-14 genome assembly, contig: Ga0115240_1273